GACGUAGGGGGCAAGCGUUGUCCGGAUUUAUUGGGCGUAAAGAGCUCGUAGGCGGUUUGGUAAGUCGGAUGUGAAAUCUCCAGGCUCAACCUGGAGGGGUCAUUCGAUACUGCCAUGACUAGAGGUCGGUAGGGGAGUGUGGAAUUCCUGGUGGAGCGGUGAAAUGCGCAGAUAUCGCUUGGAACGCCAAUGGUGAAAACAGGUUGCUGGAAGUGUGCUGACGCUGAGACACGAAAGCCAGGGGAGCAAACGGG
rnacentral:rRNA from 1 species